UACGUAGGUGGCAAGCGUUGUCCGGAAUUAUUGGGCGUAAAGGGCUCGCAGGCGGUUUCUUAAGUCUGAUGUGAAAGCCCCCGGCUCAACCGGGGAGGGUCAUUGGAAACUGGGAAACUUGAGUGCAGAAGAGGAUAGUGGAAUUCCACGUGUAGCGGUGAAAUGCGUAGAGAUGUGGAGGAACACCAGUGGCGAAGGCGACUCUCUGGUCUGUAACUGACGCUGAGGCUCGAAAGCGUGGGGAGCAAACAGGAUUAGAUACCCGCGUAGU
rnacentral:rRNA from 1 species